GACAGAGGGUGCAAACGUUGUCCGGAUUUACUGGGCGUAAAGCGCGCGCAGGCGGCGGUGUUGGCCCGGCGUGAAAGCCCCCGGCUCAACCGGGGAGAGUCGUCGGGGACCGCACCGCUUGAGGGCGGUAGGGGCUGGUGGAAUGCCUGGUGUAGUGGUGAAAUGCGUAGAGAUCAGGCAGAACACCUGGGGCGAAGGCGGCCAGCUGGGCCGUCCCUGACGCUGAGGCGCGAAGGCGUGGGGAGCGAACGGG
rnacentral:rRNA from 1 species